UACGGAGGGUGCAAGCGUUAUCCGGAAUCACUGGGUUUAAAGGGUGCGUAGGUGGCUGUGAUAGUCAGGGGUGAAAGCCCUCCGCUUAACGGAGGAGGUGCCUUUGAUACUGCACAGCUUGAAUUAGGUUGAGGUUAGCGGAAUGUGGCAUGUAGCGGUGAAAUGCAUAGAUAUGCCAUAGAACACCAAUUGCGAAGGCAGCUGGCUAGACCUAAAUUGACGCUGAGGCACGAAAGCGUGGGGAGCGAACAGG
rnacentral:rRNA from 1 species